UGCAGUCGACGAUGAAGCCCAGCUGCUGGGUGGAUAGUGGCCGAACCGGGUGAGUAACACGUGAGUAACCUGCCCUUAACUCUGGGAUAAGCCUGGGAAACUGGGUCUAAUACCGGAUAGGAGCGUCCUACCGCAUGGUGGGUGUUGGGAAAGAUUUAUCGGUUUGGGAUGGACUCGCGGCCUAUCAGCUUGUUGGUGAGGUAAUGGCUCACCAAGGCGACGACGGGUAGCCGGCCUGAGAGGGUGACCGGCCACACUGGGACUGAGACACGGCCCAGACUCCUACGGGAGGCAGCAGUGGGGAAUAUUGCACAAUGGGCGCAAGCCUGAUGCAGCGACGCCGCGUGAGGGAUGACGGCCUUCGGGUUGUAAACCUCUUUCAGUAGGGAAGAAGCGAAAGUGACGGUACCUGCAGAAGAAGCACCGGCUAACUACGUGCCAGCAGCCGCGGUAAUACGUAGGGUGCGAGCGUUAUCCGGAAUUAUUGGGCGUAAAGAGCUCGUAGGCGGUUUGUCGCGUCUGUCGUGAAAGUCCGGGGCUUAACCCCGGAUCUGCGGUGGGUACGGGCAGACUAGAGUGCAGUAGGGGAGACUGGAAUUCCUGGUGUAGCGGUGGAAUGCGCAGAUAUCAGGAGGAACACCGAUGGCGAAGGCAGGUCUCUGGGCUGUAACUGACGCUGAGGAGCGAAAGCAUGGGGAGCGAACAGGAUUAGAUACCCUGGUAGUCCAUGCCGUAAACGUUGGGCACUAGGUGUGGGGACCAUUCCACGGUUUCCGCGCCGCAGCUAACGCAUUAAGUGCCCCGCCUGGGGAGUACGGCCGCAAGGCUAAAACUCAAAGGAAUUGACGGGGGCCCGCACAAGCGGCGGAGCAUGCGGAUUAAUUCGAUGCAACGCGAAGAACCUUACCAAGGCUUGACAUGUUCUCGAUCGCCGUAGAGAUACGGUUUCCCCUUUGGGGUGGGUUCACAGGUGGUGCAUGGUUGUCGUCAGCUCGUGUCGUGAGAUGUUGGGUUAAGUCCCGCAACGAGCGCAACCCUCGUUCCAUGUUGCCAGCACGUCGUGGUGGGGACUCAUGGGAGACUGCCGGGGUCAACUCGGAGGAAGGUGAGGACGACGUCAAAUCAUCAUGCCCCUUAUGUCUUGGGCUUCACGCAUGCUACAAUGGCCGGUACAAUGGGUUGCGAUACUGUGAGGUGGAGCUAAUCCCAAAAAGCCGGUCUCAGUUCGGAUUGGGGUCUGCAACUCGACCCCAUGAAGUCGGAGUCGCUAGUAAUCGCAGAUCAGCAACGCUGCGGUGAAUACGUUCCCGGGCCUUGUACACACCGCCCGUCAAGUCACGAAAGUCGGUAACACCCGAAGCCGGUGGCCUAACCCUUGUGGGGGGAGCCGUCGAAGGUGGGACCAGCGAUUGGGACUAAGUCGUAACAAGUUAACCGUAAGUGUGCUGGGCGGAUGGCUUUGAAUUAAAAAGGGUGUUAACCCCCCAGAA
rnacentral:rRNA from 1 species